rnacentral:rRNA from 1 species
UACGUAGGGUGCAAGCGUUGUCCGGAAUUAUUGGGCGUAAAGAGCUUGUAGGCGGUUUGUCGCGUCUGCUGUGAAAUUUCGGGGCUUAACCCCGGGCCUGCAGUGGGUACGGGCAGACUAGAGUGCGGUAGGGGAGACUGGAAUUCCUGGUGUAGCGGUGAAAUGCGCAGAUAUCAGGAGGAACACCGGUGGCGAAGGCGGGUCUCUGGGCCGUAACUGACGCUGAGGAGCGAAAGCGUGGGGAGCGAACAGG